rnacentral:rRNA from 1 species
UGGGGAAUAUUGCACAAUGGAGGGAACUCUGAUGCAGCGACGCCGCGUGAACGAAGAAGGCUUUCGAGUCGUAAAGUUCUUUUAUAUGGGAAGAUAAUGACGGUACCAUAAGAAAAAGCCCCGGCUAACUACGUGCCAGCAGCCGCGGUAAUACGUAGGGGGCUAGCGUUGUCCGGAAUCACUGGGCGUAAAGGGUUCGCAGGCGGAAAUGCAAGUCAGGUGUAAAGGGCAGUAGCUUAACUACUGUAAGCAUUUGAAACUGCAUAUCUUGAGAAGAGUAGAGGUAAGUGGAAUUUUUAGUGUAGCGGUGAAAUGCGUAGAUAUUAAAAAGAAUACCGGUGGCGAAGGCGGCUUACUGGGCUCAUUCUGACGCUGAGGAACGAAAGCGUGGGUAGCAAACAGG